rnacentral:hammerhead_ribozyme from 1 species
GCAUUGUUGAAGAGUCCCAUACUAGGACGAAACGGCCGUCCAGUGC